rnacentral:rRNA from 1 species
GACGAACGCUGGCGGCGUGCUUAACACAUGCAAGUCGAACGAUGAAGCGGGUGCUUGCACUCGUGGAUUAGUGGCGAACGGGCGAGUAACACGUGAGUAACCUGUCCUUUUCUUUGGGAUAACGGCUGGAAACGGCUGCUAAUACUGGAUAUUCAGGCUGCAUCGCAUGGUGUGGUUUGGAAAGGUUUUUUCUGGGAUUGGGUGGGCUCGCGGCCUAUCAGCUUGUUGGUGGGGUGAUGGCUUACCAAGGCUUUGACGGGUAGCCGGCCUGAGAGGGUGGUCGGUCGCACUGGGACUGAGAUACGGCCCAGACUCCUACGGGAGGCAGCAGUGGGGAAUAUUGCACAAUGGACGAAAGUGUGAUGCAGCGACGCCGCGUGGAGGGUGUAGGCCUUCGGGUUGUGAACUCCUUUUUCUCGCGAAAAAGGCACAGUUUUGGCUGUGUUGAUGGUAGUGGGGGAAGAAGCGCCGGCUAACUACGUG